ACACGUAUCCAACCUGCCGUCUACUCUUGGACAGCCUUCUGAAAGGAAGAUUAAUACAAGAUGGCAUCAUGAGUCCGCAUGUUCACAUAAUUAAAGGUAUUCCGGUAGACGAUGGGGAUGCGUUCCAUUAGAUAGUAGGCGGGGUAACGGCCCACCUAGUCUUCGAUGGAUAGGGGUUCUGAGAGGAAGGUCCCCCACAUUGGAACUGAGACACGGUCCAAACUCCUACGGGAGGCAGCAGUGAGGAAUAUUGGUCAAUGGGCGAGAGCCUGAACCAGCCAAGUAGCGUGAAGGAUGACUGCCCUAUGGGUUGUAAACUUCUUUUAUAAAGGAAUAAAGUCGGGUAUGGAUACCCGUUUGCAUGUACUUUAUGAAUAAGGAUCGGCUAACUCCGUGCCAGCAGCCGCGGUAAUACGGAGGAUCCGAGCGUUAUCCGGAUUUAUUGGGUUUAAAGGGAGCGUAGAUGGAUGUUUAAGUCAGUUGUGAAAGUUUGCGGCUCAACCGUAAAAUUGCAGUUGAUACUGGAUAUCUUGAGUGCAGUUGAGGCAGGCGGAAUUCGUGGUGUAGCGGUGAAAUGCUUAGAUAUCACGAAGAACUCCGAUUGCGAAGGCAGCCUGCUAAGCUGCAACUGACAUUGAGGCUCGAAAGUGUGGGUAUCAAACAGGAUUAGAUACCCUGGUAGUCCACACGGUAAACGAUGAAUACUCGCUGUUUGCGAUAUACAGCAAGCGGCCAAGCGAAAGCGUUAAGUAUUCCACCU
rnacentral:rRNA from 1 species